rnacentral:rRNA from 1 species
UUCCCGGUGUAGCGGUGAAAUGCGUAGAUAUCGGGAAGAACACCAGUGGCGAAGGCGCUCUGCUGGGCCAUCACUGACGCUCAUGGACGAAAGCCAGGGGAGCGAAAGGGAUUAGAUACCCCUGUAGUCCUGGCCGUAAACGAUGAACACUAGGUGUCGGGGGAAUCGACCCCCUCGGUGUCGUAGCCAACGCGUUAAGUGUUCCGCCUGGGGAGUACGCACGCAAGUGUGAAACUCAAAGGAAUUGACGGGGGCCCGCACAAGCGGUGGAGUAUGUGGUUUAAUUCGAUGCAACGCGAAGAACCUUACCAGGGUUUGACAUCCUGCGAAUCUCUUGGAAACGAGAGAGUGCCUUCGGGAACGCAGUGACAGGUGGUGCAUGGCUGUCGUCAGCUCGUGUCGUGAGAUGUUGGGUUAAGUCCCGCAACGAGCGCAACCCACGUCUUUAGUUGCCAGCAUUUAGUUGGGCACUCUAGAGAGACCGCCGGUGAUAAACCGGAGGAAGGUGUGGAUGACGUCAAGUCAUCAUGCCCCUUACAUCCUGGGCUACACACGUACUACAAUGCUACGGACAAAGGGCAGCAAGUUCGCGAGGACAAGCAAAUCCCAUAAACCGUGGCUCAGUUCAGAUCGUAGGCUGCAACUCGCCUACGUGAAGGAGGAAUCGCUAGUAAUCGCAGGUCAGCAUACUGCGGUGAAUACGUUCCCCGGCCCUUGUACACACCGCCCG